UGGGAGGAGGAGGAGGGAGGGAAGAGGAGGAGGAGUAUAUGCCUUUGAACAGCUGCAUAGUGGGGGUAUCUAGGUUGGUGAGAACCACAAUGGAGGAACACGAUGAUCAAAAGAUCAUCAACUGUGAUGGCAGCAAUGAAGUUUUCACCCAAAAAUCUGAAUUCUAUCCUUCGACAGCUGAAAUCUAAAACUAAGAUGACAGCUAAAUUAGACAUUAAAAUUCCACUGACGAUAAUGGUGACCAAAGAUUAAGACAUGUCCUUAUAUGGACAAUAUAUUCAUAGGCUGAAUAGCCAAUGAUAACAACCUGUCCUUAUAUGGGCAACAUACUCAUAAGCUGGAUGUCUAAUAGCAAUAAAAACUAAUCUAUUUUCACCUGGAUUCUUCAAAGAUAAUCAAAAGUGGCAGAGGAGGAGGAGGAAGCAACCAUAUUAUUUACUCUACACAACAGGCCUUCAAAUAGAAAUCAUGUUUUUUAUGAUAAACAUUUAAAAUUCUUAGAGUAUAGACAACACAAGUGGCUUAAAUAGGUAUUUUCUUAUAAAAUACAUUCAGCACUAGCUUCCACCAAAUAAGAGAGAGAAGACAGACAGAUAAAGAGAGAGAGAGAGAGAGAGGUGAACUUACAAGGGUGUGUCUUCAGUAAACAUGUAUUUGAAGCCUUGCUAUGGAAUUUAUAAACUGUGGUUAAAUAUUUUAGACACAUUUCACAGCAAAGCUACCUUACACCCCUGUUUAUCCUAAUGACAUCAAAUGCUGCUGGUAAUAGAUGUGUGUGUGUGUGUGUGUGUGUGUGUGUUGAAGACAAAGUUCAAAAGUAUUCUUACAAACUUCCACCAAUCUUUCUUUACAAAGGCAGAAGAUGCAAAGAUUACCUGGAAGUUUAGUUUACAGACAUCAUGGCAUCAAGUUCUUUUCCAAAAACAAUAUAUUAAUAACGGACAAAGCAAUACCAAAUAAUUAAUGUUGGACAGCGGUCAGCUGAAUUCACUUUGACUUGACUAUCAAAUUAGAAAUAACAUGAUCCACAACAACUUCUGUCAAGACAUUGAUAGAUUACCUCUAAGGAUGGCCAUAAGUAUGUUUGAGAAAAUAGCAAUACUAGGGCUCUGUAAAUAUUUUUAGAACAUUUACAUUGUUACACAGCAUUUGUUAACGUUGAUUAUUUGUAUGUCUGUCUUCCAAGAUAUACCUGAUUCUUUGUAAUAGAAAAACACAAAGCUUUUCGUGUAUCACCCAAAUCAUGAAUAAAACAAUAAUAAUAAUAAUAAUAAUAAUAAUAAUAAUAAUAAUGAUAAUGAUAAUGAUGAUGAUGAUGAUUUCUUUUAAUAAUAAUAAUAAUAAUAAUAAUAAUAAUAAUAAUGUUUGAUUGCUUAAUCCAAGUUUGAAUUUCUUUUUGUGUUCCCUGAGAAAACUUGUAAACAGAAGACUAUUUUUGUCACCAACGAAUAUGUACAAAAAUAAAAAUAAAAACUUUGAAAAAAAAAAUCCAAUAGAUCUGUAUAAUAAAAGAUUGUGAACUUCA